AUGUACACUCAACUUUGAAACUACUGCAAUAAUCCACAUCCUUCAAGACCUUUUGCACAUGGGUUGGAGAUUUCUAUUUUAUCACAUGAGCUCCUGCUAUUUUGGGUUUGUGAAGUCAUUUCUUAAGUGAGGAAGUGUGGUCAGACAGCAAGAGCCCACAUUUCAGAGCUCCAGCAUCUGUCCCAGUGAACAAAAAAGCAAAGAUUCUGUCAUCUCCUCACUCUGCUUUCCAGGAGAAAGAGACAGCACAAGCAGGAUCAAAGAGAGGGAGACACA